rnacentral:rRNA from 1 species
UGGGGAAUAUUGCACAAUGGGCGCAAGCCUGAUGCAGCCAUGCCGCGUGUAUGAAGAAGGCCUUCGGGUUGUAAAGUACUUUCAGCGGGGAGGAAGGGAGUAAAGUUAAUACCUUUGCUCAUUGACGUUACCCGCAGAAGAAGCACCGGCUAACUCCGUGCCCGCAGCCGCGGUAAUACGGAGGGUGCAAGCGUUACUCGGAAUUACUGGGCGUAAAGCGCACGCAGGCGGUUUGUUAAGUCAGAUGUGAAAUCCCCGGGCUCAACCUGGGAACUGCAUCUGAUACUGGCAAGCUUGAGUCUCGUAGAGGGGGGUAGAAUUCCAGGUGUAGCGGUGAAAUGCGUAGAGAUCUGGAGGAAUACCGGUGGCGAAGGCGGCCCCCUGGACGAAGACUGACGCUCAGGUGCGAAAGCGUGGGGAGCAAACA